UACGUAGGGGGCAAGGCGUUGUCCGGAAUCAUUGGGCGUAAAGAGCGUGUAGGCGGUCCGGUAAGUCGGCUGUGAAAGUCCAGGGCUCAACCCUGGGAUGCCGGUCGAUACUGCCGGACUAGAGUUCGGAAGAGGCGAGUGGAAUUCCCGGUGUAGCGGUGAAAUGCGCAGAUAUCAGGAAGAACACCCGUGGCGAAGGCGGCUCUCUGGGACGGGUACUGGACGGCUGAGACGCGAAAGCGUGGGGAGCGAACAGG
rnacentral:rRNA from 1 species